rnacentral:rRNA from 1 species
GAUGAACGCUAGCGGCAGGCCUAAUACAUGCAAGUCGAACGGUGUCUUCGGACAUAGUGGCGCACGGGUGCGUAACACGUAUGCAACCUACCUUACAUUGGGGGAUAGCCUUUCGAAAGGGAGAUUAAUACCGCAUAAGACAGUAGCUGGGCAUCCAGCAGCUGUUAAAGAUUUAUCGAUGUAAGCUGGGCAUGCGUCCAAUUAGCUAGUUGGUGAGGUAACGGCUCACCAAGGUAAUGAUUGGUAGGGGAACUGAGAGGUCAAUCCCCCACACUGGCACUUAGAUACGGGCCAGACGCCUACGGGAGGCAGCAGUAGUGAAUAUUGGGCAAUGGACGCAAGUCUGACCCAGCCAUGCCGCGUGCAGGAUGAAGGCGUUAUGCGUUGUAAACUGCUUUUAUACAGGAAGAAACGACUCUUGCGAGAGGCAUUGACGGUACUGUAUGAAUAAGCACCGGCUAACUCCGUGCCAGCCGCCGCGGUAACAC